rnacentral:rRNA from 1 species
AUUGAACGCUGGCGGCAGGCCUAACACAUGCAAGUCGAGCGGAUGAAGGGAGCUUGCUCCUGGAUUCAGCGGCGGACGGGUGAGUAAUGCCUAGGAAUCUGCCUGGUAGUGGGGGAUAACGUCCGGAAACGGGCGCUAAUACCGCAUACGUCCUGAGGGAGAAAGUGGGGGAUCUUCGGACCUCACGCUAUCAGAUGAGCCUAGGUCGGAUUAGCUAGUUGGUGGGGUAAAGGCCUACCAAGGCGACGAUCCGUAACUGGUCUGAGAGGAUGAUCAGUCACACUGGAACUGAGACACGGUCCUGACUCCUACGGGAGGCAGCAGUGGGGAAUAUUGGACAAUGGGCGAAAGCCUGAUCCAGCCAUGCCGCGUGUGUGAAGAAGGUCUUCGGAUUGUAAAGCACUUUAAGUUGGGAGGAAGGGCAGUAAGUUAAUACCUUGCUGUUUUGACGUUACCAACAGAAUAAGCACCGGCUAACUUCGUG